AAACCUUAGCUAAUACCGCAUAAUACCCACGGGUCAAAGGAGCAAUUCGCUCCAGGAGGGGGUCGCGGCCGAUUAGUUAGUUGGCGGGGUAACGGCCCACCAAGACAGUGAUCGGUAUCCGGCCUGAGAGGGCGCACGGACACACUGGAACUGAAACACGGUCCAGACUCCUACGGGAGGCAGCAGUGGGGAAUUUUGCGCAAUGGGGGAAACCCUGACGUAGCAACGCCGCGUGGAGGAUGAAGUACUUCGGUACGUAAACUCCUUUCGAUCGGGACGAUAAUGACGGUACCGGAAGAAGAAGCCCCGGCUAACUUCGUGCCAGCAGCCGCGGUAAUACGAGGGGGGCGAGCGUUGUUCGGAAUUAUUGGGCGUAAAGGGUGCGUAGGCGGUUUGGUAAGUCUCUUGUGAAAUCUAUGGGCUCAACUCAUAGACUGCAAGGGAAACUGCCGGGCUUGAGUGUGGGAGAGGUGAAUGGAAUUUCCGGUGUAGCGGUGAAAUGCGUAGAUAUCGGAAGGAACACCUGUGGCGAAAGCGGCUCACUGGACCACAACUGACGCUGAUGCACGAAAGCUAGGGGAGCAAACAGGAUUAGAUACCCUGGUAGUCCUAGCCCUAAACGAUGACUGCUUGGUGUGACGGGUACCCAAUCCCGCCGUGCCGUAGCUAACGCGUUAAGCAGUCCGCCUGGGGAGUACGGUCGCAAGGCUGAAACUCAAAGGAAUUGACGG
rnacentral:rRNA from 1 species